UGGUGGGUAGUUUGACUGGGGCGGUCUCCUCCUAAAGAGUAACGGAGGAGCACGAAGGUUGGCUAAUCCUGGUCGGACAUCAGGAGGUUAGUGCAAUGGCAUAAGCCAGCUUGACUGCGAGCGUGACGGCGCGAGCAGGUGCGAAAGCAGGUCAUAGUGAUCCGGUGGUUCUGAAUGGAAGGGCCAUCGCUCAACGGAUAAAAGGUACUCCGGGGAUAACAGGCUGAUACCGCCCAAGAGUUCAUAUCGACGGCGGUGUUUGGCACCUCGAUGUCGGCUCAUCACAUCCUGGGGCUGAAGUAGGUCCCAAGGGUAUGGCUGUUCGCCAUUUAAAGUGGUACGCGAGCUGGGUUUAGAACGUCGUGAGACAGUUCGGUCCCUAUCUGCCGUGGGCGCUGGAGAACUGAGGGGGGCUGCUCCUAGUACGAGAGGACCGGAGUGGACGCAUCACUGGUGUUCGGGUUGUCAUGCCAAUGGCACUGCCCGGUAGCUAAAUGCGGAAGAGAUAAGUGCUGAAAGCAUCUAAGCACGAAACUUGCCCCGAGAUGAGUUCUCCCUGAGACUUUAGGUCUCCUGAAGGAACGUUGAAGACG
rnacentral:rRNA from 3 species